UCGAGAAAGACCGACAGAGACCAAGAGAAUGGAAGAAAGAAAGGAAGAGGAGGAGUAGAAGAAGAGGAAGUGGAUUUCCAAGCUUGGUGCUUCAUUUCUUCAAUUUCUCAUUUGAUUUAGAGAGGAACCUUAUACUGGUGAGGAUUUGGUGGCUGUAGGUAAUGGAUCUGGUCUCUCCAUUUCCAGUAUCAUUUCUUUCUCUAUCCAAAAUCCUCAAAAAAAUUAUCCCUUAAAGAUGUACUACAUUUUUCUAAUGCCUUGAUCAAUUUGCUCUCUAUCAAUAAAUUCUGCCUGGAUAACAAUUGUUAUUUUAUUCUAACUGAUACUCAUUAUUGUGUCAAGGACAAGAUAACGGGAAAAAAAGCUUCUAGAGGGAAAAAGUGAAGGUGGUCUCUAUUCUAUCACGUUGAAUAAAGUUUUUCCUAAUGACUACUGUGCUAGUGAAGCUAUAUUUAGGACCAAAACCUCUCUUGAUAUGUGGCAUGCUUGACCAAGCAAAUCAUCUUCUCCUUUAACUUCCCAAUUGCUGAUUCUUUGUUUCAAGAGUCUAUUUGUCCUUAUCGUCAAUUAGGGAAAAAUUAAACAAUUAUCGGUUAAUCGGUCUAAUAGAGUGUCGGUUAGUCCGUUAAAUCUCAAGUCACUCUUCUGAGCCAAGGAAGGAAGAAAAAAGCUCGGCAAAGACUAAGCCGAAUAGGAAAGAUUAUUCAAUCUUAACCGAAUAAAGAUCGGGAUUAGGAGAAAGAGAAUAGGAUAUCCCAGAUCGAAAGGAGAUCCUCGACGUAAACAUUUAGUUCACUAUCAGCAAAAGCACCACCUAGUUUAGGAGCAUGUUGAGACUGGGCCAAGUUCUCUUUUGGAUCAACCUUAGUCUACAAAGGGAAUUGGGCCUUUCCUUUGUCUCGCAAUGCUCUGUUAGCAAUUUAAGCCAUCAGUCGUCUACACAAUGCACGAGGAACCAUAGCCAACUUCCCAAUCUGUGUCUUUCAAGUGGUUGUCGAUAUUAUGCUAUUUUUAUUGAUGAUUAUUCACGUUUUACUUGGAUGUAUCAUAUUUCAACUAAAUCAGAAGUUUUAGUUGUUUUGUCAAAUUUAAACUAUUAGCGAAAAACCUUUUCUCUUGUAAAAUUAAACAAUUUCAAUUAGAUAAUGGUAGAGAAUAUACUCCAAAUCAAUACAUUUCAUUUAUUAAUUCUCAUGGUAUUCUCCAUUGACUUACUUGUCCAUAUACAUCACAACAAACAGAGUUUUCAAAAGAAACGUCAUAUUGUGGAAAUUGGAUUAUCCUUAUUGGCUCAAUCCAAUCUUCCAAAACAAUUUUGGGUCAAUGCCUUUUCCGCUGCCAUAUUUAUCAUCAAUCGACGUCGACUCCUAUUUUACAUUCCGACUUUCCUUAUAGUCUUCUAUUCAAAAGAUCACCUAAUUACUCUCAACUAAAAUCUUUUGGGUGUGCUUGUUAUCCUCUCCUUAGACACUAUAAUACAAACAAGCUUGCCUUCUGCAGUAAACAGUGCAUCUUCAUAGGCUACUCAUCCAAUGAAAGAGGUUAUCAAUGUCUUGAUCCCAUCUCGAAGAGAGUAUAUUUAUCACGGCAUGUAGUGUUUGAUGAAAUUUGUUUUCCUGCCAAGGAUACGUUCAUUGUCACUCGUCCACUGAAAGAUUUUCACUUAUUGUGCAUCCAAGAUUUUCUCCAAGCAGCUCCUUUGACUGAAAUCACUCUUCCUCACCGAAUCCAUAUCUCAUCUCAUCAAUUCCGAUCACUCUCCACGUGAACAAGUAUCCAACUCUAAUAUUUUCAGCUCUCUCCAUAUCUUGCCUCUUUCGGACAAUUUUUCUCACUCGGUGGAUGAUUCUUCACCCAUUCAAUAAGUCAUCUCUCCCACAGAACCCAUAGUCACGGAUUCCUCUCACCGUUCUACCUCAUCUUCCUUACCUCCCAAUGAUUCAGUUCCUCCUUCCAAUCAAAUUGUGACAAGAUCAUAAAUAGUUCUUCACAACCCAAGCAAUUCCCUAAUUUCGUUACCCACUAUUUGACUCGACAUCCUAUAUCUGCCUUGGCUAGGAUUCCUUUACCUAAAGAACCAUUGAAUUUCACACAAGAAAUAGUUUCUGCAGAGUGGAAAAAGCCAAUGGAUGAGGAAUAUUCUACUUUACUUGCCAAUAACACAUGGACCCUUUGUCCCCAACCUAUUGAUCAUAAAGUUAUUGACACUAAGUGAGUCUAUAAAAUUAAACAAAACGUGAAUGUUUCUCUCGACCUUCGCAAAGCUCGCUUAGUGGCUAAGAGAUGUAAUCAAAUUUGUGGCAUUGAUUUUUCUGAGACUUUUAGUCCUGUUAUCAAACCUGCCACUGUUCGCAUUGUUUUGACUCUUCUCGUACACUUUGGAUGGGAUAUCAAGAAAUUGGAUGUGUCUAAUGCCUUCCUUCAUAGUACUCUUGAUGAAGAAGUUUACAUUUCUCAACCUCAAAGUUAUGUUGAUCCACACCAUCUGCAUUAUGUAUGCCUUCUAGUAAUAAGGUCCUUUAUGGAUUAAAGUAGGCUCCAAGAGCUUAGUUUAAUUGAUUCUCUCAAUGUCUUUUGGAACUUAGAUUUUUGGAUCCUCGGCUCAUCACUCUCUUUUUACUUAUCACAAAACUGAUGUUCAUAUUUUUAUUUUGGUCUAUGUGAAUGAAAUUCUUAUUAUAGGAUCACAUAACUCAUUCGUUGCCUUAUUGCUCCAGUAAGUAAAAUAUGAUCCUGCCUUGAAGGAUUUGGGGUCUCUUUAUUAUUUUCUUGGAAUUCUGGUCACUCGUGACUCUCAAGGUUUGCAUCUCUGUCAAUCCAAGUACAUAUUAGACAUUUUAGAUCGUGCUCAUGUGGUUGGUACCAGGCUGUAUUCAACACCAUCUACCUUAGGUUCGAAGCUUGCUGCGUCUAGUGGUGAUCCUUUUUGUCAUGCCACUAAAUAUCAUCAAACUGUUGGUGCUCUCCAAUAUUGCACUCUUACUUGUCCAAAAUUGCUUAUUCCAUCAAUCAACUUUGUCAACAUCUCCACGCUCCUACUACUAUACAUUGGAUGGCUGCUCAAUAUGUCCACUGCUAUCUUAAAAGUACGGUUGAUCAUGGUCUUACUUUCUCCAAGGGGAGUCUUUACUUACUAGCAUAUAGUGAUUCUAAUUGGACGGGUAAUCCGGGUGAUCAUCCCUCCACCACUAGCUUUGGUACUUUCUUAGGUCCUUGUUUGAUUUCUUGGUGUGCUAAGAAUCAAUCGAUCGUUGCUCGAUCAAGUACUAAGGUAGAAUAUCGGGCUUUAGCAAUGACUGUUGCCGGACUCUAUUGGAUUAGGAUGGUUCUCAAAGAUUUACAGGUCCCUCUUACACAUGUUCCAACUAUUUGAUGCGAUAAUUUAGGUACUAUUCCCCUUGCCUGCAAUCCCAUUUUUCAUGCUCGCACUAAGCAUGUGGAGGUGGAUGUUCAUUUUAUUCGGGAGAAAAGUUUGAAUAAGGAUGUUGCUAUUAAGUUUAUUUCUACAUAUGACCAAAUUGUCAAUGUUUUCACAAAGGAGCGGGCUUCUUCUCGAUUCUCUUUCUCAAGGCCAAGCUUAUGGUUUGUCUUCCCCCUAUUUGCUUGCAGGGGGAUGUUAAGGAAACUAAUAGUCAGCAUACUAUAUUGGAAGAGAUAUGAUUGCUUGAUUAUAGGAAGAGAUGUGAUUGCUUGAUUACAACAUUUUUUUUCUUUCAUUCCUUUACAACAUUUUUCUCUUUCAUUCCUUUUAAACUUUAUUCUUUCCUUUUAGUCAUUAUUCUUUCUUUGUACAUAAUAUAUAGCCUUCAUUGUAAACUCUUAUAUAAGUGAAUACAUGUUUCUGGUCUUGGCACUUUGGACCAACACCAUUUUGUACAA